rnacentral:rRNA from 1 species
GAUAGUACCUUACUACUUGGAUAACCGUGGUAAUUCUAGAGCUAAUACAUGCUUAAAACCCCGACUUCGGAAGGGGUGUAUUUAUUAGAUAAAAAACCAACGCCCUUCGGGGCUUCUUGGUGAUUCAUGAUAACUUUACGGAUCGCAUGGCCUUGCGCCGGCGACGGUUCAUUCAAAUUUCUGCCCUAUCAACUUUCGAUGGUAAGGUAUUGGCUUACCAUGGUUUCAACGGGUAACGGGGAAUUAGGGUUCGAUUCCGGAGAGGGAGCCUGAGAAACGGCUACCACAUCCAAGGAAGGCAGCAGGCGCGCAAAUUACCCAAUCCCGACACGGGGAGGUAGUGACAAUAAAUACUGAUACAGGGCUCUUUUGGGUCUUGUAAUUGGAAUGAGUACAAUUUAAACCUCUUAACGAGGAACAAUUGGAGGGCAAGUCUGGUGCCAGCAGCCGCGGUAAUUCCAGCUCCAAUAGCGUAUAUUAAAGUUGUUGCAGUUAAAAAGCUCGUAGUUGAAACUUGGGUCUGGCUGGCAGGUCCGCCUCACCGCGUGUACUUGUCCGGCCGGGCCUUCCUUCUGGAGAACCUCAUGCCCUUCACUGGGCGUGUUGGGGACCAGGACUUUUACUUUGAAAAAAUUAGAGUGUUCAAAGCAGGCCUUUGCUCGAAUACGUUAGCAUGGAAUAAUAGAAUAGGACGUGCGGUCCUAUUUUGUUGGUUUCUAGGACCGCCGUAAUGAUUAAUAGGGACAGUCGGGGGCAUCAGUAUUCAAUUGUCAGAGGUGAAAUUCUUGGAUUUAUUGAAGACUAACUACUGCGAAAGCAUUUGCCAAGGAUGUUUUCAUUAAUCAGUGAACGAAAGUUAGGGGAUCGAAGACGAUCAGAUACCGUCGUAGUCUUAACCGUAAACUAUGCCGACUAGGGAUCGGGCGAUGUUCUUUUUCUGACUCGCUC